CAGCACAACAUGGCGGUGCCCUUUGUCCUGUUUGGAGAGCGGGAGGCGGGUGGAAAAGGAUCCCCAGGGACUGCGGCUUUCCUGUGCCGCUUUCGGUGCGGACUCUCGAGAGGGCUCAGUCUUGAGUUCCCGGGCGCUUCCUGUUAAAUGAUACUGUGAAAAUAACUUCAUACUUUAAGGGGAAAGAAGCUGUUUGUGGGAGUUCAGAUGUCCGUGAUAAACGCUCUAUGCUUUUUCAGUCAGUAAGCUCUUAAAAUAUCUUUCAGUAAUCCUCCAAAACCUUACUGAGACAGCAGCAUCUGUGUUAAAAGCAGUCGAGGUCCAGGAAAAGGCUGGGACAAAACGGGAUAAAUCAGCAUCGCUUCCACGCGUUUGCCCGGCUUUCCCAUGAAGCCAAAGCAGCCUUGGAAGUAGUGCCACUGUCCCUGGUCAUUCUUGUGUUUGCAGGGAGUAAAAAUGGCCUUGGGGAUUUGCUUCUGGGAACAGAGAUCCAUUUCCUGAUGGUAGUCCUGGAAAUGGAACUGAGUCUCUGUGAGAGCUGAGGAUGGUACAGAAGGAGUGCUGGGAUUGGAGAGUCCACAGUGAGUAUUGUGUGGUGAGUGUCCUGAUGUCCCUGCUGUAAUGCUGUGCUGUCAUCAAGUCCCCUCAUUCUGAUGUAAACUGUCUUUGAAUGUGCUGAAAGUCCAAACUGAAGUACAAAAUGCCUAUGGGAAGCUUCAUGUUCCCAAGGGAAUGCUUUAGGGAUGUGCAGCUUCUGAACUACAGAAA